UAGGGAAUAUUGGGCAAUGGGUGGGAGCCUGACCCAGCCAUGCCGCGUGCCGGAAGACGGCCCUCUGGGUUGUAAACGGCUUUUAUAUAGGAACAAAAGGGUCCUGCGGGACAGAUUGCGUGUACUAUAUGAAUAAGCACCGGCUAACUCCGUGCCAGCAGCAGCGGUAAUACGGAGGGUGCCAGCGUAGUCCGGAUUUAUUGGGUUUAAAGGGUACGUAGGCGGAAUGCUAAGUCCGAGGUGAAAGCCCACCGCUCAACGGUGGAGGGGCCUUGGAUACUGGUAAUCUUGAGUGCCGGAGAGGCAGGCGGAAUUCAUGGUGUAGCGGUGAAAUGCAUAGAUAUCAUGAGGAACACCGAUAGGGAAGCCAGCUUACUAGACGGUCACUGACGCUGAGGUACGAAAGCGUGGGGAGCGAACAGGAUUAGAUACCCCGGUAGUCC
rnacentral:rRNA from 1 species